rnacentral:rRNA from 1 species
UGGAGUCUGCAACUCGACUCCAUGAAGCUGGAUUCGCUAGUAAUCGCGCAUCAGCCAUGGCGCGGUGAAUACGUUCCCGGGCCUUGUACACACCGCCCGUCAAGCCAUGGGAGUCGGGAGUGCCUGAAGUUCGUGACCGUCACAGGAGCGACCUAAGGCAAGACCGAUGACUGGGGCUAAGUCGUAACAAGGUAUC